CACGUAGGGGGCAAGCGUUGUCCGGAUUUAUUGGGCGUAAAGAGCUCGUAGGUGGUUCGGUAAGUCGGGUGUGAAAACUCUGGGCUCAACUCAGAGACGCCACCCGAUACUGCUGUGACUUGAGUCUGGUAGGGGAGUGUGGAAUUCCCAGUGUAGCGGUGGAAUGCGCAGAUAUUGGGAGGAACACCAGUGGCGAAGGCGGCACCCUGGGCCAGUACUGACACUGAGGAGCGAAAGCGUGGGUAGCGAACAGG
rnacentral:rRNA from 1 species